UGCUGUUGCGAAAUUUUCAGACAAUGAAUAAUCUAUCACCAUCAACUUUUAAUGCUGAUCAGCCAACUACUGAUUCAUUCACACUUUUUGGUCAUAGAAUUGCAUCAGUGGUUCCAAAUUGUAAUAUUGCAAUUACUGAUGAUGCUUCAGUAAUAUUUGAAAAUAUUUUGCGGUUAUAUGUUUUGGUAAAAGUUUUUGGAUUAUGGAAAAUUUUCUUUCUUGCUAAUUGAUAAUAUUAGUAGAUUGACAUAAGAUUUGUUCUAACUAUAUUAUUUUAAAAAUUAAUUUCAGAUUCUACUAAUGACAAUGAGUCUGAGCUAGUCAGCAAUCAUUCCUCGACCUCAAAGAAAAAUAAGUUAUUAAACAACAUGAAUUAGUUUAGCAAUUAAAACACAUGAAAACCAUAGAAACUUGAAGCUCUGUUGAAACCGAAGAAACUCCAGGCUCUGUAGAUGAUGAAAUCGGGAACAUGCCUAACAGAAUAAGAAGUAUAGAAUUUGAAAAUAUGAAAACCCUAAUCAUAACAUGAAGAAAUCUGGAACCUAGAAUUCGAUGUAUGAAGUGAAAUAACAAGAAACUUAUUUUAAUUAGUCAAUAUCUCUAUUUAGAAAUACUUUGACAGGAAAUGGUUUCGCAGAAGAACUGGCAAGCGUAACCGAGUAAGAUGAUGAAGAAGAUGAAGUACGGUAAAAUCAAAACGCAAUAAGAAGAUGAAGAACGCUAGAAUUUAAAUAAAGAAUGAAAUAUAUGAAACUUACUUCAAGUAAACUUUUGCGUUGACAAUCUUGUUGACCUUUUAAACGUAAAUGUUGUUUAGGGUUGAUUUUAGUAAACCCUAACCCGCUAAGCCUUAAACCGGUUAACCCUAUACCGGAAAAUUGUAAACCGGUCAAGUGUUAAUGGGUAAACGGUAAAGGCGUUGUAGAAGGUAAACGGUUACUGCUAGAACUUGUAAUCGGUAACCUGUAGACGGUUCGGUAACUCAUGGAUUAACCGUAAGUGGUGUAAAAGGUAAUCGUACAGAAUAUAAACAAUCCAAUCCAAUCCAAAAACCUAAAUUUAAAAAUAAAUAAGUAUAAAAAAGAGAGAAGUACCAUCGAAGAUCAUAUUCCAAUGUUGGAAAACUCCACCACCGCUAUUAUGCCUCUUUUGGAUAGCACUCUCCGGAUACUUGACGACUCUCAGUCCCUCUGGACUUCGAGGUCAUUACCAAUGCCAUGAUCACUCUUGAAGUACAAGAAAAAGAAUUUGAUGUAGAUGGGUGGAGGACGGUUCCGAAUUCGGACAUAGCAUUUGCAAUUUUUUAGAAUUUCCGCGGUGGAGUACUGUGGAGCUGUCAAUUGUGAAUCGAAACUCUUAAACUAGGUAAAGCAAACUUAAAACCCUAAAACGAAAACUCAAUCGAAUGGAUGAAAACAUUUUGUCGCAGCUUGAAUAUAAAACACGGAGUAUAAAUCUAAUGGAUGAAUAAGAGGUUGAACCAUGGAAUAUUCAAUUAUUUGAAACAAAGAUAAUGAGUAAAACAAACGGGAAGUUGAAGAAAUGGUCGAUAACGAGAAAAUCCAUAAUUUUGAUUGAAUCAAAUAAACUAAUGAAAGUUUUAAAACGUUUGAAAACUAGUAGACCUAGUGAACGUUUGAAAACCCAUAAAGAAAUUGAGAGGUUAUUUGUAAUGGAAAAGAUGGCGGCUGAAAGAAAGUGAAAGGACGAAAGAACCAAGUCGUGGAAGACCUCGACGAAACCCAAUGACGGUAAAGUGUAGACGAAAGUGAAACCGUGGGGCGACUGAAAGAAAGGACUACAAACCGAGUCGUGGAAGACCUCGAUGAAACCCAAUGACGGUAAAGUGUAGACGAAAUCCCAACGACGAAAUCCCAACGACGAAAUCCCAACGACGAAAACCCAACGACGAAAUCCCAUUCACUGUCUAAAGUGUAGACCGGUGAAAUCCCAUUUUUGAGCGAAUUUCGAAGUCCGUUAAACGAUAAACCCUAAACCGGUUAAGUCUUAAUGGGUAACCGGUAAGUAAUGGAAACGGUAAGAGGGAAAACGGUGAAGAGGGGGAAAAACGCUAAACGGUAAAGAAAUCCCCAAAACAAAUCUAAUCGAAACCCUAGAACUAGUAAAAUCAAAUUUGAAAUCCUACAAUGAAAUGAAACCAUUGUCCAGAGAACGGAAAUGCAGCAAAACGAGACGAAAUGAAAGCCAUCGUGAAAGUGAACCGCGAAGAUGAAAGUGCACUCGAAGAAAGCGAUAACGAAAGGAAAGUGAAAACCCAUUGAUAACUCAUUGAAAGCGAAAUUCAUUGAAAACCCAUCGGGAUAGGGAACACCCAAAAUGAAAGAGAAGAUGAAAAAAACAUGACCGAUUGGAUGAAGGAACCGUGGAGCACCGAAGGAACAGAACUGGAAGAUGUGGAACGAAGAUGAAAACAGAAACCUUCAAACGAAACCCCUAAAACAAAGCGAACUAGAACCUACAACUGACCUACACAAACAAGGCAACACAAAAGUAGGACUUAUAACUGACAACUAAUGUAAACCUGACCUAUGAAUUCUAACUUAAAACGAAUCCUAAAACAAAGUUAAUGACAGAAAUAAUUAAAAUCCGACGAAUUAUUUAUCAGACCAUGGAUUCCUCAUCCGACGGAGGAGCAGGAGUGUGCACACCGUGUGCAGUGCACACCUGAUCCAAAUUGUAUAGUUAUAUACCGUCUCUUUUGGAGUUUUGAAAUCAUUUUUUU
rnacentral:lncRNA from 1 species